UCUAGCUACAGGCUUAACACAUGCAAGUCGAGGGGCAGCAUGGUCUUAGCUUGCUAAGGCCGAUGGCGACCGGCGCACGGGUGAGUAACACGUAUCCAACCUGCCGUCUACUCUUGGACAGCCUUCUGAAAGGAAGAUUAAUACAAGAUGGCAUCAUGAGUCCGCAUGUUCACAUGAUUAAAGGUAUUCCGGUAGACGAUGGGGAUGCGUUCCAUUAGAUAGUAGGCGGGGUAACGGCCCACCUAGUCUUCGAUGGAUAGGGGUUCUGAGAGGAAGGUCCCCCACAUUGGAACUGAGACACGGUCCAAACUCCUACGGGAGGCAGCAGUGAGGAAUAUUGGUCAAUGGGCGAGAGCCUGAACCAGCCAAGUAGCGUGAAGGAUGACUGCCCUAUGGGUUGUAAACUUCUUUUAUAAAGGAAUAAAGUCGGGUAUGGAUACCCGUUUGCAUGUACUUUAUGAAUAAGGAUCGGCUAACUCCGUGCCAGCAGCCGCGGUAAUACGGAGGAUCCGAGCGUUAUCCGGAUUUAUUGGGUUUAAAGGGAGCGUAGAUGGAUGUUUAAGUCAGUUGUGAAAGUUUGCGGCUCAACCGUAAAAUUGCAGUUGAUACUGGAUAUCUUGAGUGCAGUUGAGGCAGGCGGAAUUCGUGGUGUAGCGGUGAAAUGCUUAGAUAUCACGAAGAACUCCGAUUGCGAAGGCAGCCUGCUAAGCUGCAACUGACAUUGAGGCUCGAAAGUGUGGGUAUCAAACAGGAUUAGAUACCCUGGUAGUCCACACGGUAAACGAUGAAUACUCGCUGUUUGCGAUAUACGGCAAGCGGCCAAGCGAAAGCGUUAAGUAUUCCACCUGGGGAGUACGCCGGCAACGGUGAAACUCAAAGGAAUUGACGGGGGCCCGCACAAGCGGAGGAACAUGUGGUUUAAUUCGAUGAUACGCGAGGAACCUUACCCGGGCUUAAAUUGCAGAUGAAUUACGGUGAAAGCCGUAAGCCGCAAGGCAUCUGUGAAGGUGCUGCAUGGUUGUCGUCAGCUCGUGCCGUGAGGUGUCGGCUUAAGUGCCAUAACGAGCGCAACCCUUGUUGUCAGUUACUAACAGGUUCCGCUGAGGACUCUGACAAGACUGCCAUCGUAAGAUGUGAGGAAGGUGGGGAUGACGUCAAAUCAGCACGGCCCUUACGUCCGGGGCUACACCGUGUUACAAUGGGGGGUACAGAGGGCCGCUACCACGCGAGUGGAUGCCAAUCCCCAAAACCUCUCUCAGUUCGGACUGGAGUCUGCAACCCGACUCCACGAAGCUGGAUUCGCUAGUAAUCGCGCAUCAGCCACGGCGCGGUGAAUACGUUCCCGGGCCUUGUACACACCGCCCGUCAAGCCAUGGGAGCCGGGGGUACCUGAAGUGCGUAACCGCGAGGAGCGCCCUAGGGUAAAACUGGUGACUGGGGCUAA
rnacentral:rRNA from 1 species